rnacentral:lncRNA from 1 species
CUGCUGCUGCUGACCUUCAAUGAUUGGUACUGAAUACUACUAUACAACUAUAUCAGGGUAUAGUAGUAGUAAUAAUAAUUGACUUAGGACUAAUAGGAUUACUAUGGCUGAUAAUGAUGUCAUAUUUGUUUGGUUCUUUUGGGGCAGCUAAUUCAUUUGCCUUCCAUUAGAUUCUUUUGUUGCUCCCUCAAUCUGCAUAGCUGUAGUUACUCCCUAAAUCAAAGUAAGUAAUCCUUCCUAAGGCCUAAACAAAGGCUACUUAGGUGUAACUUGGCAAAUUAAAUGAAAUGUGCUUGGUC